rnacentral:lncRNA from 1 species
UGCUUCGCCUGGACGUGGACGUUGCUUUCUCUAAUGGGGGACAAAGAGUGGGUGUUGGCUUUUUGCUUCGGGAUUAUCUUGGUGAGGUGGUGGCAGCUGUUAGCCAGAAAGCCGGAGCGACGACGAUGGUGCUUUUGGGUGAGCUUCAUGCUAUGAUCCUUGGGAUUGGUUUUUGUUUGGAGCACGAGUUUGGGCCAAUUAUUGUUUACACGGAUUCUCUCCUUGCGGUUCACACUCUUCACGAUACCUAUGGGGGAGCCGACUCAUUAUGUGAUGAUCUUUGGGAAG